rnacentral:rRNA from 1 species
UAAGACAGAAGGUGCAAGCGUUACUCGGAAUCACUGGGCGUAAAGCGUCUGUAGGUGUUUUCCCACGUCUGGUUUUAAAUUUCGGGGCUUAACCCCGUCUGCGAACUGGAAACGAGGAAGAUUGAGUCAUUCAGAGGCAUCUGGAAUGUCGCGUGUAGGGGUAAAAUCCGUAGAUACGCGAUGGAACGCCAAAAGCGAAGGCAGGAUGCUAGGAAUGUACUGACACUCAGAGACGAAAGCGUGGGGAGCAAAGGGGAUUAGAUACCCCCGUAGUCCACGCCCUCAACGAUGCGGGCUCGGUGUGGGACCUUCAAUCUGGUCCCGUGCCUCAGCUUACGCGGUAAGCCCGCCGCCUGGGAAGUACGGCCGCAAGGCUA